CACGUAGGCACCAAGCGUUGUCCGGAUUUAUUGGGCGUAAAGAGCUCGUAGGCGGUUGAGUAAGUCGGGUGUGAAACUCUGGGCUUAACCCAGAGCCGCCACUCGAUACUGCUCUGACUUGAGUUCGGUAGGGGAGCAGGGAAUUCCUAGUGUAGCGGUGAAAUGCGCAGAUAUCAGGAGGAACACCGGUGGCGAAGGCGGUUCUCUGGGCAUUACCUGACGCUGAGGAGCGAAAGUGUGGGGAGCGAACAGG
rnacentral:rRNA from 1 species